rnacentral:tRNA from 1 species
GGGCUCGUGGUGAAACUGGUAGACACGCAGGAUUUAGGUUCCUGUAUCGCGAGAUGUGAGGGUUCGAGUCCCUCCGGGCCCACCA